rnacentral:rRNA from 1 species
AAGCGUGCGCAGCGGUUUUGUAAGACUGUCGUGAAAUCCCCGGGCCUCAACCUGGGAAUGGCGAUGGUGACUGCAAGGCUAGAGUUUGGCAGAGGGGGGUAGGAAUUCCACGUGUAGCAGUGAAAUGCGUAGAUAUGUGGAGGAACACCGAUGGCGAAGGCAGCCCCCUGGGUCAAAACUGACGCUCAUGCACGAAAGCGUGGGGAGCAAACAGGAUUAGAUACCCCAGU